GGUUGGGAGAGGCUUUGGAGACAGAGGCCGAGAGCAGCUAUGCAAGGAUUGAGACCACCCCUGCGGGGAAGGAUCGCAAGAAUGUAAAAUCAGCAUGGAAGGAAGCGGCGUCUUCUGGGAGCCAUUUGGACGGAAGAAGCUGUAUGGAGGACUAACCUGCGACCUGACCUCACCUCUCUCUUUACCGGAGCGUCAGUGUGGGACACCAGCCCCUCGGAAAAAUAUCCGCAAACUUUGUAAAACCAGGUGACUCAACAGAAACAAAUGAAGUGGAAAACAUGAAGUGGCAUGCCCUGGCCAUCUUACUGCCUCAUCUUUCAGAAACCCUCACCUCCCCCACAAUCUGGCAAAGGUCGAAUCUAAUGAUGGAUGCUCUGGGACGCCUCGUGCAUCGGCCACAUUACGUGGCGUUGCAAGACCGAACAAUAAAGCAACCUGCCUUGGGAACCACGGCAACCCAACAGUGUCAUAGCAA